AUUGAACGCUGGCGGCAGGCCUAACACAUGCAAGUCGAGCGAGCGGCGGACGGGUGAGUAAUGUCUGGGAAACUGCCCGAUGGAGGGGGAUAACUACUGGAAACGGUAGCUAAUACCGCAUACCAUCAGAUGUGCCCAGAUGGGAUUAGCUAGUAGGUGGGGUAACGGCUCACCUAGGCGACGAUCCCUAGCUGGUCUGAGAGGAUGACCAGCCACAGUGGAACGGGGACACGGUCCAGACUCCUACGGGAGGCAGAAGUGGGGAAGAUUGCACAAUGGGCGAAAGCCUGAUGCAGCAAUGCCGGGUGUGUGAAGAAGGCCUGCGGGUGGUAAAGCACUUUCAGCGGGGAGGCGUUACCCGCAGAAGAAGCACCGGCUAACUCCGUGCCAGCAGCCGCGGUAAUUC
rnacentral:rRNA from 1 species